UACCUCCACUAUUGUAUGUCGCUUUGGACAAAAGUGUCCGCUAAUUGUAUGCUU
rnacentral:sRNA from 1 species